rnacentral:misc_RNA from 1 species
GAAAUGCGAUACUUGGUGUGAAUUGCAGAAUCCCGUGAACCAUCGAGUCUUUGAACGCAAGUUGCGCCCGAAGCCAUUAGGCCGAGGGCACGCCUGCCUGGGUGUCACGCAUCGAUGAAGAACGCA